UACGUAGGGGGCGAGCGUUGUCUGGAAUUAUUGGGCGUAAAGAGCUCGUAGGCGGUCUGUCGCGUCGGCUGUGAAAUCCCGGAGCUCAACUCCGGGUCUGCAGUCGAUACGGGCAAACUGGAGUACUGCAGGGGAGACUGGAAUUCCUGGUGUAGCGGUGAAAUGCGCAGAUAUCAGGAGGAACACCGGUGGCGAAGGCGGGUCUCUGGGCAGUAACUGACGCUGAGGAGCGAAAGCGUGGGGAGCGAACAG
rnacentral:rRNA from 1 species